rnacentral:rRNA from 1 species
GAUGAACGCUGGCGGCGUGCCUAAUACAUGCGAGUCGAGCGAACAGACGAGGAGCUUGCUCCUUUGACGUUAGCGGCGGACGGGUGAGUAACACGUAGGUAACCUACCUAUAAGACUGGGAUAACUUCGGGAAACCGGAGCUAAUACCGGAUAAUAUUUCGAACCGCAUGGUUCGAUAGUGAAAGAUGGCUUUGCUAUCACUUAUAGAUGGACCUGCGCCGUAUUAGCUAGUUGGUAAGGUAACGGCUUACCAAGGCAACGAUACGUAGCCGACCUGAGAGGGUGAUCGGCCACACUGGAACUGAGACACGGUCCAGACUCCUACGGGAGGCAGCAGUAGGGAACCUUCCGCAAUGGGCGAAAGCCUGACGGAGCAACGCCGCGUGAGUGAUGAAGGUCUUCGGAUCAUAAAACUCUGUUAUUAGGGAAGAACAAACGUGUAAGUAACUGUGCACGUCUUGACGGUACCUAAUCAGAAAGCCACGGCUAACUACGUG